rnacentral:rRNA from 1 species
UCCGGUUGAUCCUGCCGGACCCCACUGCUAUCGGGGUGGGACUAAGACAUGCUAGUCGUGCGCCUCCAAGCCACGGUGGAGGCGCGGCGCACAGCUCAGUAGCACGUGGCUAACCUACCCUUGGGACAGGGACAACCCCGGGAAACUGGGGCUAAUCCCCGAUAGGUGAGGACUCCUGGAAUGGGUCCUCGCUGAAAGGGCGUCUAGACCAUGCUUCUAGACGCUGCCCAAGGAUGGGGCCGCGGCCGAUCAGGUUGUUGGUGAGGUAACGGCUCACCAAGCCUAAGACCGGUACGGGCCGUGAGAGCGGGAGCCCGGAGAUGGACACUGAGACAAGGGUCCAGGCCCUACGGGGCGCAGCAGUCGCGAAACCUCCGCAAUACGCGAAAGCGUGACGGGGCCACCCCGAGUGCCGUCCGCUGAGGACGGCUUUUCCCCAGUGUAGACAGCUGGGGGAAUAAGGGGAGGGCAAGUCGGGUGUCGGCCGCCGCGGUAAUACCCGCUCCCCGAGUGGUGGGGACGCUUAUUGGGCCUAAAGCAUCCGUAGCCGGCUGGACAAGUCCCCUGUUAAAUCCAGCGAUUUAAUCGCUGGACUGCGGGGGAUACUGUCCAGCUAGGGGGCGGGAGAGGCCGGCGGUAUUCCCGGGGUAGGGGUGAAAUCUUAUAAUCCCGGGAGGACCACCAGUGGCGAAGGCUGCCGGCUGGAACGCGCCCGACGGUGAGGGAUGAAAGCUGGGGGAGCGAACCGGAUUAGAUACCCGGGUAGUCCCAGCUGUAAACGAUGCGGGCUAGGUGUUGGCACGGCUACAAGCCGUGUCAGUGCCGCAGGGAAGCCGUUAAGCCCGCCGCCUGGGGAGUACGGCCGCAAGGCUGAAACUUAAAGGAAUUGGCGGGGGAGCACCACAAGGGGUGAAGCUUGCGGUUUAAUUGGAUUCAACGCCGGG